rnacentral:lncRNA from 1 species
GCUUGUCUACCUGAAAGGUUGGGCAAAGGUCAGCAAGUUUGUUUGGACCCAAGAAAGUCCUGGGGUCCCAGGAGAGUUCAGAUAAUCUGGGCUUGAGGUAAAAACAGAGUUUUGCUUUUGAGAAAUGCCUGGAACCUUCCUUAUGAUGUGGAUGAAAGGAGCCUCGGGGAUCUGGGCAAAUGAACUCUGAAGAUGAAGUCACUGAAGCUAAUAGAAAAGAGGUGAAUUGCCCAAGGGCACGUAAUAAUGCACAGAGAGGAGAUUCAAACUCAGUUUCCCUGACUGCAAAUCCAGGACAACCGUGCAUGAUUCUGAAGACUAACUGGAUGGCUACAGACUAA